rnacentral:lncRNA from 1 species
AUGGGGAAAAAAAUCCUGGAAAAAAUCCUGGAAAAAUGGGAAAAAAAUCCUGGAAAAUGGGGAAAAAAAUCCUGGAAAAAUUCCUGGAAAAUGGGAAAAAAAUCCUGGAAAAAUGGGGAAAAAAUCCGGGAAAAAAUCCUGGAAAAAUGGGAAAAAAUUCAGAAAAAAUCCUGGAAAAAUGGGAAAAAAAUCCUGGAAAAAUUCCUGGAAAAAUGGGAAAAAAAUUCUGGAAAAAUGGGGAAAAAAUCCUGGAAAAUGGGGAAAAAUUCAGAAAAAAUGGGAAAAAAUUCAGAAAAAAAUCCUGGAAAAAUGGGAAGAAAUUUCAUGGAAAAAUGGGGGAAAAAUCUGGGAAAAAAAUCCUUGAAAAAUGGAAAAAAAUUCUGGAAAAAUGGGGAAAAAAUCCUGGAAAAAUGGGAAAAAAUUCAGAAAAAAUCCUGGAAAAAUGGGGAAAAAAUCCUGGAAAAAUGGGAAGAAAUUUCAUGGAAAAAUGGGGAAAAAAUCCUGGAAAAAUUCCUGGAAAAAUGGGAAAAAAAUUCCUGGAGAAAUGGGAAAAAUUCUGGAAAAAUAGGAAGAAAUUUCAUGGAAAAAAUCAGAAAAAAUCCUGGAAAAAUGGGAAAAAAUUCAGAAAAAAUCCUGGAAAAAUGGGAAGAAGAUUCAUGGAAAAAUGGGAAAAAAUCCUGGAAAAAUGGGAAAAAAAUUCUGGGAAAAUGGGAAAAAAAUCCUGGAAAAAUGGGAAAAAAUUCAGAAAAAAUCCUGGAAAAAUGGGAAAAAAAUCCUGGAAAAAUUCCUGGAAAAAUGGGAAAAAAAUUCUGGAAAAAUGGGGAAAAAAUCCUGGAAAAUGGGGAAAAAUUCAGAAAAAAUGGGAAAAAAUUCAGAAAAAAAUCCUGGAAAAAUGGGAAGAAAUUUCAUGGAAAAAUGGGGGAAAAAUCUGGGAAAAAAAUCCUUGAAAAAUGGAAAAAAAUUCUGGAAAAAUGGGGAAAAAAUCCUGGAAAAAUUGCUAGAAAAAUGGGAAAAAAAUUCUGGGAAAAAUGGGGAAAAAUCCUGGAAAAAUGGGGAAAAAUCCUGGAAAAAUGGGAAGAAAUUUCAUGGAAAAAUGGGGAAAAAAUCCUGGAAAAAUUCCUGGAAAAAUGGGAAAAAAAUUCCUGGAGAAAUGGGAAAAAUUCUGGAAAAAUAGGAAGAAAUUUCAUGGAAAAAAUCAGAAAAAAUCCUGGAAAAAAUCCUGGAAAAAUGGGAAAAAAUUCAGAAAAAAUCCUGGAAAAAUGGGAAAAAGUUUCAUGGAAAAAUGGGAAAAAAAUCCGGGAAAAAUUGCUGGAAAAAUGGGAAAAAAUCCUGGAAAAAUGGGAAAAAAUUCAGAAAAAAUCCUGGAAAAAUGGGAAGAAGAUUCAUGGAAAAAUGGGAAAAAAUCCUGGAAAAAUGGGAAAAAAUUCAGAAAAAAUCCUGGAAAAAUGGGAAAAAAAUCCUGGAAAAUGGGGGGAAAAUCCUGGAAAAAUGGGAAGAAAUUUCAUGGAAAAAUGGGAAAAUAUUCUGGAAAAAUGGGGAAAAAAAAUCCCCAAAAAACUGGAAAAAUUCCUCCAAAAAAAGAAAAAAAAUCUUGGAAAAAAAAGAGGAAAUUCCAGGAAAAAUGGGGAAAAAAUAUGA